UUUCUGACUGUUACUUUAUUCUUUUUCAUUUGUUUUUUGUCCAGUUAUUUUCAUUUUUUUGUUAUGGUACUGUAGCAUAUAAAUAUAUAUAUAUUCAGUUAACUUCAGUUAUUAAUAUCAGUUUAAUUUCAGUGUAUUUUCAGUGUAUUUUCAAUGUACUUCAGUGUAUUUCAGUGUAUUUUCAGUGUAUUUGCAGUUUAUUAAUUUUGUUUUCACUUAUAU
rnacentral:lncRNA from 1 species